UCUGGGUGAGGAGCGGCCUAGGGCGCACGUCGUUUGCUGCGGCCCGUAGGGCGGGCGCCUCCUGUCGCGCGUGUGCCACGUUAGUAGCGGGCGCUGGCGGCGGUGGCCGCGGUUUCCCUUCCCCCUUCCGCUGCGCUACCCGUUCCGGCAUGGGGCCGCUGGUCUGGCUCUGCCUGCAGGUUGGCGCCGGCUCCGCAGCAUUUGUGGUGAACGUGGAUAUCCGGCGAGCCGAGCGGCCCCUGCGGCACUUUUGGAGGAGCACUGGCUUUUGCCCUCCUUUACCUCAUAGCCGAGCGGAUUUGUUUGACCUGAGCAAAGACCAAGAGAUGAAUCUUGCCUACAUUUCUUCUGUUCCACAUGGUGGCAUUGAACAAGUUCGAAUUCACUGGUUACUGGAACUAGUUGGUGUCAGAGUGACAAAUGGAAAACUUCACUACAAUUUUACUGCCUUGGAUAACCUUAUGGAUCACCUCUGGGAGAAUAAACUAAUUCCAGGAUUUGAGUUGAUGGGAAGUCCAUCAGGGUAUUUUAUAGAUUUUGAAGAUAAAGACCAGGUGGUAAGGUGGAGGAACUUGAUUAGACUGCUGGCCAGGAGAUAUAUAGAUAGAUACGGAUUGGAACAUGUUUCUAAAUGGAAUUUUGAAACUUGGAAUGAACCAGAUCACCAUGACUUUGAUAACGUGUCUAUGACAGUGAAAGGAUUUCUCAACUAUUAUGAUGCUUGCUCAGAAGGAUUAAGAGCAGCCAGUCCUCUGCUGAAAUUUGGCGGGCCAGGAGACUCCUUCCACCCCUUCCCCAAGUCACCCAUAUGCUGGAGUCUUCUAUAUCACUGCUACAAUGGAACCAACUUCUUCACAGGAGAGACUGGCAUAAGGCUGGACUACAUCUCUCUACAUAAAAAAGGCAGUGGGAAUUCUCUCUACAUAUUGCAACAAGAAGUGGAAGCAGUUGAGCAAAUUCAGAAGUUGUUUCCAAAUUUUGCUUCUGUUCCCAUAUACAAUGAUGAAGCAGAUCCAAUGGUUGGAUGGUCAAUUCCACAGUUGUGGCGAGCUGAUGUGACCUAUGCAGCUAUGGUGGUAAAGGUAAUCAUCCAGCAUCAAAACCUGCUCAUUUCCAAACUUAACAACACCAUCAAUUAUACUUUACUGAGUAAUGACAAUGCCUUCCUGAGCUACUACCCCCAUUACUUCACACAGCGGACUCUUACAGCACGGUUUCAGAUGAACAAUACGAAGCCAGCACAUGUCCAGAUGGUGCGGAAACCAGUACUGACUGUCAUGGGCUUGCUGGCACUGCUAGGAGAAAAACAGAUUUUUGCGGAAGUAAACAGCAGUGAAGGCGAAAGCACAGAGAACAGCGCAAUUGGUGUCCUGGCAUCUCUGCACAUGCCAGCUGAGCUGCAGCCCUCUGACAGUUGGCAAGCUACUCUACUAAUAUAUUUAAGUGAAGAUAACAGGACUUCACCCAACAUCAGUACUGUCAUUGUGAAUGCCACCCACUUCCCCAAACUUGAAGAGCUGGUCUAUGUGACAUACUGUCUGGACAACAACCAAACCAAUCCCUACCUGAUAUGGAAAAAACUAGGAAGCCCUGACUUUCCUUCCCCAGAACAGUUCCAGAAAAUAAGGGAUGCUGAGGAUCCAGUGGCAACAGGUCCAUUUCCAUUUCCUGAAGGCGGCAUCCUGACCCUGAAACAGGAUUUCCCGGUUCCUUCAGUCUUUCUUAUCCACAUCUGUGCAAGACCUCAUUCUGUUCCUGAUCAAGUGACUGGUGUUCGUUUGAUCCCGCUCACCAAGGGGCAGAUUAUUGUGUUCUGGGACGAUGGCUGUGUGAAUUCAAGAUGUAUAAAGACAUUUGAAGUGGAAUUCUCACCAGAUGGAAAAGCAUACCAGCGAAUUAAUGCCAAAGACACAAUAUUCACUCUCUGGGUCUACAGCCCAGAAAGUUUAUUCAGGAGAAGGACCUACGUACACGCUUAUAGUCAGGAAAAACAGCCUGGUUUAUUAAAGGCAGCAAGGAUCACAUUAUCAACCUCAUCAGAGCUGUUGUUCAAGAGGAUUUUAUAGCUUCAGAAUUUAAAUGGAUAACAUUGGUCCAAACUUUUCCAUGGGAGAUGCCAAUGAGGACACCAAAUCACAGCUGUAAAACCUUCAGCAAUUUGGCUGGAACCACUUUUUUUGGCUGCCUGGGGCCAAAGCUGAUCUCUGAUGGUAUCCCAGGUCUACCUGGAGAAGCAGAAAGCAAUGACUACGUGCAUUAGGAAGAGGAAAAAAUGUGCUAGGGAGACUAGCAGCAGGGGAAAAUGAAAUGAGAUUAAGAAGAAGAAAAUAACUAAACAAAGGGGACCCUGGAAAUUCAAAAGCAGUUCCUACUAAAACAAAAGUAAGAUCUAAACAAGUUACUGCAAGACAGAAAGACCCUCAAAAGUUACCAUUAUUGGUAAAAUCAAUGAGGAGAGUAGAACUUAGUGGAAUUUAACUCUGCUCAGUUUGACUCUUCAGUUAAAGGUAUGAAAUUUGUCUGGAAAGUUACAUACUUAAGCAUGAAAUAGAGUGCAUUAGCUCCCAAGUACAUGAGGCCGAGCAUAAAUCUGAUAUAGCAAGAUAUUGAUGUUCCUGAAACUCUUCCCAGACAUGAGUUUCUUUCCAGCAAGGCAAACUUUGUAAAGAAGAAUGGCUGGCAAGCAACAAAUUCUGUUUGUGGCUGGAGGUGAUAUUUGCAGGUGGACAGUCAAAACAGGAACUGGCACAACAGCCAGGGCCUUUACUAACGCAGUUAGCCCUACUUUACUUUUUAGAGGAAGGCAGGCAAAUUAAAUGCUGCAUUUAGAACCAAAAGCCAGGCUGUGUCCAACACACCCAGCUAGAUAAACUCUCAUUUUGCUGUGACUCCCAAGCAUGGUCAGCUGUGAAUACAAGUCCACAGGAUACCUUAUUUGCACCUUCUCUCUAUGUUUAGGGAUCUAAAGUGUUUCAUUCAUAGGACUGCCCAAAACUGAAAGCCAUACUGAACUUGAACUAGUAGAAGAUCAUAUUUGGUAGAAAAACAUCCCUGCCCUUUGUGGCCAGUGUUUCCAUAAUAUUCAGCAAGUCAAACACUGUCAAAAAGAGCAAACUACAGAAACAGUGUUUGCGAGACAGCAUAUGAACCAAGUUAAUUUCUUGGCAGUGAACUCCUUUAUACAGCCUAUAUAACCUGGUAAAACAUUUUAUAUAGUAAAGCUUCUUCAUAUGUAUUGUAUUUAGCAGAUGAAUUAACCAUAAUUACCCUUUUUGGAUCAAAAUUGUCUUUCACAGAGAAAGACUCCACUGCACAGGUCUGAGCUAGGCUGUCUUCAAUAGUGGAGAAAAUUGAUGCCAGGAAAACAAAUUGUAAUAGUCAAAGACUUCAGAUACUCAUCCAGGACUGGAUGAGUAAUGACAGUUAUGUAUCCCACUGGGCUGUGGAGUGUCCAGGGGUUGUGGAUGUACACAUCAGGAAUGACUCUACAGUUCCUACAGAAGAGCCCACAGAGUCCUCCAUCUCUUGGUGCUGCUUCAGUGGUCUGGAUAUUCACAUUACACAUAAAGACUUGCUGCAGAGAUCUCCUGCAAUCACUUGCCCAAGAAUUCCUGAACAGAAAAGUGCAACUUCCCCUCCACCCCUGGUGUCUACAUUGCUGCUUUGCAAGCAACUUGUUUAGAGUUGCCCAUUAUGUGGGAAAGACAAUGCUUGUUGUCAGGGGGAAUAUGGCCUCUGUGCAGUUUCCUCUGACAUUUUAAAGGGAGACCUUGAUAUGUGUGUGCAUGUCUCAGGGAGGAACUGACUGUAAUUGGUUUCUCUAAGACUACAGAGUGAAACUGUCUUUUGGUGGCUGCUUGCAUGCAGAUCCUUCACAUGUAGCACCAUAGGUAAAAAGGCAGAACCUUUUGAACCGAGACUUAAAAAUGAGACGUGGAUUAAACUACAAAAAGUUCUGGUGAUUUUGGAGCCAAAAGCUCCCCUUGGACACACUGCAUUUCUUCAUUCAGCAUUUUGACUUGGUUUAUCCAGGGAUACCAGAGCCUGGAAGUGCAGGGAGAUGGCACAUACUCAAUUGCCACUACAAGCUCCUGGGUGCUGCAUGCCUUGGGCAACAUGGACCUACCCUGUCCUGCCUGAACCUCUGGCCUGUUUUUCUAGAAAGAUACCAAAUGGUUAUUUGCUGAACUAAUCCUUCAGCUGCAGCUGUCUGCUUACCGUAUGUGCUGUGUCCCAGGGAUCAGCAGGCUCCUGCAGGGUUUGCACAGGGCUGAAGCCAUCCACAUGGAGUGUGACAAUAACCAGCUCAAUUAAUUUAGACAAAACUAGUUAUGUAAGGCCUCAGGCAUAUACUGUCAUUUGGUAGUUGCUUUGCAUGCAGACCCUUCACAAGCAGCACCAUAACUGCAAAAGAGGAGGGGAGGAUUGCUGAGCACGGACCUUAAAACAAAAAACUAUGGAUUAAACCAAAAAGUCCUGGCAAUUUUGAAGCCAAGUACGCCCCAGUGACACUCUCCUUUUCUUCAGCAGCAGCAUUUAAUUCAUUGUGGAGUGAAAGGAAAAUCAGCAGAGGACCACUUAAUUUCUUUAAAAUGCUUGGUCAUUUAAAGGACAUAAAAAACAACUUUUUAAACUGCUUUUGAGGGCUGGAUACCCACUAACUUUUCAAAGGACCUCGCCUGAAACAGAAUCUAAGUGCAGAACUGCUAUUUUCCACCACAAAGCUGUGAUUUAAGACAGAAUGAAACACAGGUUUUCUGUAAAUUAGAAGAGCUUCAAAUCACUUAUCUCUUCAUCUGUUUUCAAAAAACAGAUUACUUUAUGUCCUUUGAGACAUAGGUGACACUUGAAGCUAUGCUUAGGUGACCACUUAAUCCCUUGGGGAUUAUAGACAUGCUAAUAAUAGCUAAUCACAGCACAAGAUUUUGGUUGGUUACCAUAACAUCUGUCACUGCUUUAUUUGUUCUUUGGAGCGAGAAGAAAAGAAUAUCACAAUAACCUUCAGUUUCCCAGUAUUGUGGUAGUUCAUACUGGGCUUAUAUAUAAAAAAAGAGGAGCCUAGAAAAGAGAUAAAGCAUAUUCUUGAAUUAGUUAAACUUGAUUUAACAUGAAAUGAAUCCUACAAAAACAAAGGAGUACUGGAGGAACUAGUUUUCAAAGAGGACAUCCAAGGCUGUGUUGUAGGCUUAACAACAUCCAAGGCUGUUAAGACUGCUUGCUUUUUUUUCUGGAAGAGGUGGUCUGACCAGACAAAAUAUAUGUUCAGCCUGCUGUAUUCAGCACAGGAGUAACUGGUAGAUUUAAUGUAGUUUUAAAAUAGGCAGCAAAGAUGAUUUAAUGAUAUCUGUUGCCCUAUCCUAUAAAAUCUAGCAGCAGCAGUUUUGGUCUUCCUGUUCCUAACAGAACCCCUCCUUAUAACUGUACUUUUGGAAAACGCAGUGGGUAAAUUGUUCUGGGAAUUACUGUAAUUGCACUGCUAGCUCAGAUUUAGCCAAAUGUACUAGCUCAGCAGCUGAUAGUAUGGUGAGAUCUCUAAAUAAAUAGUGUCUUGCAUCAGGUAUUGGGUUCCUUGAUGUCCAGCUAGCAAUCAAGCUAUGUGCUUGUUUACCAGGGUGCGGGAGAACAGGUGCAUUGUAGGUGCAUUUUGAGUAACCUUUGAGAAAUA